AUAAUAAUAAUAUUUUAUUUUCACACAAAUUGCUACACUAUAUUGGUAAAGCCGAAGCCAUAGGCUUAUUUGGCAAAACUAUUUAAGAGUAUAGCUCGUGGUCAGUACAGAGAAUUAAGUAUGACUUAUUCCAACUGAGUAUAUAAUAAAAAAAGAAAAAAAAACCCAACCGGAAAAAGCAUUUAAAUUAGUAUAGAUAAUUCAUGCUUUAUAGAAAGCAGUAUAUGCAGCAUAUAUACAGCCAAAUUUCAGUCCUUUUUAUCCCAGAGCCAUUCCACAUGCACAUGUCAACCAUUCUGAAAAGUUAAAUAGUAGUUCUUUAGAAUACGUCUAAAAUUUUGAGUUGUCAAUGAUUGCCGAAUUAAAAGAGGGAUAGAAUUCCAAUUUUUCGGGCCUUGCGCACGAAUGGAAAAAGAAUAUUUAUGGGAAAUGAUAUGCAAAUCCUGUCUAUGCCUUGUAAAAUGAUCAUGGAUGUUAUAAUUGAACUCAAAUAAGCAAGAAAUGGGUGAAGGAAGGAGAUUGUUAACGUGUCUAAAAAUAAAACACGAAAGUUGAAAUUCAUAAAUCUGAAAGACAGUGAGGAUAUUUAAUUCCUUAAAGAGUGGUUUGGAAGGAGUGAGAGGGGGAGAAUGUGUAAUAAUUCUCAUGAUUUUUUUUUGACAUCGAAGUAAAGGAUGAAGAUGUGUUGUGUAAGAUGAUCCCCAGAUAAUAGUGCAGUACUGUAAAUAAGGCAAGAUUAAAGAAUUGUAUAGUACUGAGAGUGUUGAUUUAUCAAGAGAAUGACGAGAUUUUGCAAUUAUUCCAAUGUUUUUGGAAAUUUUUGUAGUGAUUAAUUGUAUAUGUGGGAUCCAGGACAAAUUUUCCUGGAUAGUAAUUCCCAGAAAUAUGGUUUGGCUAACCCUUUCUAUUAGAUGUCCAUUGAUUUUUACCUCAUCCUGUGGGUCGAUGUUUUUUUUCCUGCUGGGAUGAAAGAGUAUAAACUUGGUUUUAUCUGGAUGCAAUGUAAGUUUAUUUGCCCUAAGCCAAGAAGCAACUUUAACAAGUUCAUGGUUGAGUGUGUUAAUGAGGGACGUUAUGUUAUUGUCACUACAAAAUAUAUUUGUGUCAUCUGCGAAUAGUAUAAAGGAUAGGCAGUUGGAUGUAUUAAAUAUAUCAUUUAUAAACACAAGAAAAAGUAAUGGUCCAAGAACCGAACCUUGGGGAACUCCGCAUUUAAUAAUUUUAGGUGAAGAUUGAACAUUGUUAAUUUCAACAUAUUGAGAUCUUUGACUAAGGUAACUUUUAAUCCAUGAAAGAGCAUUACCACGAAAACCAUAAAAAGACAUUUUGUCAAUUAGGAUGUCAUGGUUGACAGUAUCAAAAGCCUUUUUAAGAUCUAGAAACACGCCAACAGUUAGCUUAUUAUUUUCAAAACCAUGAUAUAUUCCGUUUACCAGUUCGAGUAUAGCCAUGAACGUAGAAUGAUUUUUUUCUAGAGCCAUAUUGGUGGUGGUUUAUAAUUUGAAACUUAUAUAGGAAAUCCAUGAAUCUCUUAUACAUCACCUUUUCAAGUAUUUUUGAGAAACAAGGAAGAAUAGAAAUCGGUCUAAAGUUGGAAAAAUUAUGACAAUCAUUGCUUUUGUAAAUAGGCAAAACCUUAGCAAUUUUUAGCUGGUUGGGUACACUACCAUUGGCCAUUGAAGAGUUGAAUAUGUAACACAAUGGUACUGCAAGUAUGUGAAUACUCGUUUUAAUGAUAGGCGUUCUAAUACCGUCUACCCCUUCACUGUAACUAUUUUUCAACGAAUUAGUGAUAGUUAUAAUUUCAGAAGGGGAAG
rnacentral:lncRNA from 1 species